GACGAACGCUGGCGGCGUGCUUAACACAUGCAAGUCGUACGGUAAGGCCCUUUCGGGGGUACACGAGUGGCGAACGGGUGAGUAACACGUGAGUAACCUGCCCACAACUUUGGGAUAACGCUAGGAAACUGGUGCUAAUACAGGAUAUGUGCUCCUGCUGCAUGGUGGGGGUUGGAAAGCUCCGGCGGUUGUGGAUGGACUCGCGGCCUAUCAGCUUGUUGGUGGGGUAGUGGCCUACCAAGGCGGCGACGGGUAGCCGGCCUGAGAGGGUGACCGGCCACAUUGGGACUGAGAUACGGCCCAGACUCCUACGGGAGGCAGCAGUGGGGAAUAUUGCACAAUGGGCGCAAGCCUGAUGCAGCAACGCCGCGUGCGGGAUGACGGCCUUCGGGUUGUAAACCGCUUUCAGCAGGGACGAAGCUUUUUGUGACGGUACCUGCAGAAGAAGCACCGGCUAACUACGUG
rnacentral:rRNA from 1 species